AUGGUUGGUCUGGAGGGUUCUGCAUUAGAUGAAGAAAGGGUGGACCGCCACGGGUUGAGUGAUACUGGAGGGCUUUCUUGUGUGGGUGGCGUAUCGUUGCUCGCACCGGGAACUGCCUUCUCUACUAAUUUUAGUAUUCUUCAGGAGCUCCGCACAGAAAAGUUAUUUCGAGAAUAUUUGGAGUACCGUGAGGAUCCAUUCAAGUGGGCGGCAGAAGAACUGGUUGCAGCAUGCAAUUCACCUGUUGAUUUGUUUCUCCAGACUGUGCCUGAUGAGAGGCUUUUUCAAGAGCACCUUUUCAAUUUUGUGUCGUUAUGUGAACAGUAUUCUGUGGUUGUUGAUGAUGCUGAUGGAAGUAAAGAAAGUUUGGCUGAUGAUGGAUCACCACGUUUCUCGACUGAGGCUGAGAUCAAACUCAUCCACCGUAAGAAUCACAAAGAUUCUCUUAUGAAAAGAUUGCAUGGUGUUCGAAGAUAUUAUGCAUACUGCAAAGCCCUUCUGCAACUUGAUUUUAUCAAGUGGAAUAGUAACCCUGAAGAAGUUUUAAAACGGAUCAAAGAGUCAACUAGAUGGUCUGAUGUGCUGAAUGAUUAUGAGCUACAACGUGGUUUAGAGUUUGAUAAGGUAGCUUUGGAGGAAGACAUCAACUCUCGUAUGAGUUCAGAAUUAGAGAAGCAUCUACAAUUCCCUGACCAGUUGCUCAUGCGAGAAUAUUUCAAUAGUGUGAAAAUAAGGAACCUUGCCAGGGAGGCUGGAGUCAUUCUUGUCGAAGAGUUUCUACCCGUACGAAAUUUGGAAGAACAGAUAUUACCCAAAAGUUUGCCCCAGAAUUUUGGACAACAGCUGUUACCCAGAAAUUUGCCCCAGAUGAAAAAGAGAGUUAAGCAGUCACUUGACUCAACCAGGGCUUACCUGCAUCGACAGGGCGCUACUCGUGCUAGGGGUUUGAAGUAUGUGGUUGGUGCAGUUUCUCUUGCUUGUAUCAUCAUGGCUGGCCAACGCGAGAGUAAUUAA
rnacentral:rRNA from 1 species